GACGAACGCUGGCGGCGUGCUUAACACAUGCGAGUCGAACGGAAAGGCCCUGCUUUUGUGGGGUGCUCGAGUGGCGAACGGGUGAGUAACACGUGAGUAACCUGCCCUUGACUUUGGGGUAACUUCAGGAAACUGGGGCUAAUACCGGACAGGAGCUCCUGCUGCAUGGUGGGCGUUGGAAAGUUUCGGCGGGUGGGGAUGGACUCGCGGCUUAUCAGCUUGUUGGUUGGGUAGUGGCUUACCAAGGCUUUGACGGGUAGGCGGCCUGAGAGGGUGACCGGCCACAUUGGGACUGAGAGACGGCCCAGACUCCUACGGGAGGCAGCAGUGGGGAAUAUUGCACAAUGGGCGGGAGCCUGAAGCAGCGACGCCGCGUGCGGGAUGACGGCCUUCGGGUUGUAAACCGCUUUCGCCUGUGACGAAGCGUGAGUGACGGUAAUGGGUAAAGAAGCACCGGCUAACUACGUG
rnacentral:rRNA from 1 species